UACGGAGGGCGCAAGCGUUGUUCGGAAUCACUGGGCGUAAAGCGCGUGCAGGCGGCUUGGUAAGUCGGGUGUGAAAUCCCGGAGCUCAACUCCGGAACUGCACCCGAUACUGCCUCGCUAGAGUCUCGGAGAGGAUGGCGGAAUUUCCGGUGUAGAGGUGAAAUUCGUAGAUAUCGGAAGGAACACCAGCGGCGAAGGCGGCCAUUUGGACGGUGACUGACGCUCAGACGCGAAAGCGUGGGGAGCAAACAGG
rnacentral:rRNA from 1 species